GGAGCAUUAAGCCAUUCUGGUGAAUAUAUGGCAAAUGAAAUAAAGAAAGUUUUAAAAGAAAUAAAUCCUAACAAAGUUUUGGGCAUUGUGACUGACAAUGCUGCAAAGAUGAAAAAAUGCACGUACUAUCAGUACGGACUAGGUGGGGAUCAACUGUAGCAUGCUUAGAUAGCAUACAGAAAAAUAAGCAACCAUUAAAAACAUUGGCUAUUUCUGAAAACAGUGGACUUAAUUCAGCAACAAAAAAUAUUCUUUUAUCAGAUAUUUUUUGGGACAGGGUUGAAGGUUUUUUCAAAUUGCUGUCACCAAUAGCUGAUGCAAUAAAGAAAACUGAAUCAAAUACUCCCAUGUUAUCUAAUAUUGUAGAGACUUAUCACUUCUUGGAAGAUCACAUUUUUAAAAACUUAACAAAUAGCCCAUUUUUAAAAAAAGGAAGAAGCCAAAAAGAUCUUCAAGAAAAGAAAAGAAUUUUGUUUAACAGAAAUUCACUUGGCUGCCAAUAAACUAGAUCCCAAAUUUCAAGGCAUAGUCUUGACUGGAGAACAAAAGAUUGAUGCAUGUGAGGCAAUACCCAACAUUGCUGCAAGUAUACCUGAAGUAAACAAAGAAAUUAUGAUGUUUGACUUGGUAAUUACCAGUCAAAAGGUGGAAUAUUUUCAAAACCUUUUAUUUUGGACUGCAGUUGGAAUAACUCAACCCAUAAAUUGGUGGAAAGGGCUGUGUUCCUUUACUGAACUAUCAAAAGUUGCAUCUAGCUACCAGUUUCAAGUGCAGCAUGUGAGAGAAGUUUCAGCGCUUAUUCUAACAUUCAUAGUGCGAAAAGAAAUCGCUUAACGACUGAAAGAGCUGGAAACUAGUUUUCAUUUCACAAAAUUAAAAACUUGAAAAUAUUGAAAAUACCAGUUAAAAUGAAAAUGGUACAAGCAUAACUACUCCUCAAAUUAUUAACUUGAGUGUAAAUAAAGUUCCUAGCACUUCAAUGCCUUGGUCAGAGUCUGAAGCAGUUAAUAUAGAAAGUGACAGUGACUUUGUUUAUGAAUUCUAGUCUAGGGAAGAAAGACUUGAAAUCAGAAAGCACAUCCAUUUAGAAUAUAUUUUAUAGUUUAAAUACAUGUUUAAAUUGACUUUUUUGCUUAAAUAUUUAUACUUUUUUUUAAUUGUGUAUAUACUACACUACACAGUACUACACUACUUUGUACUAAAUUAAUAACCAAUUAAAACUAA